CGUGAGAUGUUGGUUAAGUCCCGCAACGAGCGCAACCCUUGUCUUUAAUUGCCAUCAUUCAGUUGGGCACUUUAAAGAGACUGCCGGUGUUAAACCGGAGGAAGGUGGGGAUGACGUCAAGUCCUCAUGGCCUUUAUGCCCAGGGCUACACACGUGCUACAAUGGGUGGUACAAAGAGAUGCAAUCUCGCAAGAGCAAGCAAACCUCAAAAAGCCAUCCUCAGUUCGGAUUGGAGUCUGCAACUCGACUCCAUGAAGUCGGAAUCGCUAGUAAUCGCGGAUCAGCACGCCGCGGUGAAUACGUUCCCGGGCCUU
rnacentral:rRNA from 1 species